CGAUCGGUUUAGGCUGUCCCGCUAUUGGGCAUCAUGGGAGUCGCCCUGACCGGCGUGACCGGCUUCUGCAUCUACGCGUUGAUGACCAAAAAUGACGUCAUGCUGAAUCAUCACGACAAGAUACCACCAUGGGAGAAGAGCAUCGACGAAGUGAAUCCAAAGUUGUUGAACUUGCAUCCCCUUCACAAGCUGGACCCGGAAAUCCGCAAACUCAAGGAGGAAAUCAACCAAAAAAGCGCUUGAAAAAAAAAAAAAAGAGGAAACGUCUACGGUCGUCGUCAAUCCGGAAAAAAAAAAACAUUCGAUGUUUUUCUUUAGAU